rnacentral:rRNA from 1 species
UAAGGAAUAUUGGACAAUGGUCGCAAGACUGAUCCAGCCAUGCCGCGUGCAGGAAGACGGCCCUAUGGGUUGUAAACUGCUUUUGUACCAGAGAAAACCUAUCUACGUGUAGAUAGCUGAUAGUAUGGUAAGAAUAAGCAUCGGCUAACUUCGUGCCAGCAGCCGCGGUAAGACGAAGGAUGCAAGCGUUAUCCGGAUUCAUUGGGUUUAAAGGGUGCGUAGGCGGGCUUGUAAGUCAGUGGUGAAAUCUCUCAGCUUAACUGAGAAACUGCCAUUGAUACUGCAGGCCUAGAGUAUAGAUGACGUUGGCGGAAUAUGACAUGUAGUGGUGAAAUACUUAGAUAUGUCAUAGAACACCGAUUGCGAAGGCAGCUAACGAGACUAUAACUGACGCUGAGGCACGAAAGUGCGGGGAUCAAACA